AUUACGGGACUGGAUGUGGAAACUGGAUUUCAAAAUAAAAUUCAACUUCAAGUGAAUUAUCAGAUAUUUAAAGAACACAAUAACAAAUAAUUUAGGCUUGUUCACUAUUAGCGCCCUGUCUAUAUCAAAGCCAUCUUAUUUUGGAUUUCAAAGUAAAAGCCCUGUGAUUUUUCAUUUUUGAAUUACUCUUUCAAUGACUUCAGAAUGCUCUUAAAAGCAAAAGUCAUAUUUCCAAAGAGUAGUUGCAUUUUGUAUCAACACUAUCCAACCACAGCAAUUUGAAAUUGCCCAUAUUUGACCACUCUUUUAACGAUUUCAAAAUGCUCUAAAAUGGAAAAUUGCUGUUUCCACAGGGUAAUUCCACUUUAGAUCAACAGUAUACAACUCCACAGUGAUACCAUAUGUUACAGCCCAGGGCCAUUUGGGUUUAUUUCCCCUGUGUGUGUGUGUGAGAGGAGAUGCAGCACCUGUCUCCCAUCUCACUGAAUUGCAUCCCAAUUAGACUCUCCCAGCUGUUCCUGAUGAUCAGGACUUCUAGCAGCAUAAAAGUCAGCCAGCCCUAAGAUCAGGGAGCACCAGGCCAGGGAGGUUCUCUCUGGUCUGUUGUCUCCUCAGCAGCGGUUUGGUUUGGUUUGGUUUGGUUUGGUUUGGUUUGGUUUGGUUUGGUUUGGUUUGGUUUGGUUUGGUUUGGUUUGUUUUGUUUUGUUUUGUUAAGUUUUAUGUAACAACUUUGGUGGGUGCUUAAGAAAACUCUCUGUGUUUAACCGUCAGUCCUUUUUUAGGUGUAGGGUGUAGAGGAAACUUUACCCCUUCGCUUGCUUUAAAUAAAACAUUACUCGGAAAUUAUGUGAUGGUCUUUUGUAGUUUUGGUAUUAAUUUGGUUAAUAUGAGAGUUUAGUUGUUACUCGUUUUGCGUUGCUGCUGAUGUGUCUUGUUAAUCUGUGUUAUUUACGUAAAUAAAUGUUGUUUUGUUACUUUUACCACAAGAACAUGCGUCCUCAAUUGUUACCCCAGGCCCCCUAGACAGCCUGGAGUGUAACAAAUGGGGUCACACACACACACGAGCCAUAACACAGUAUGGUGCACAACAGCACUUUAAGCUGUGGUCUAAUCGAUAGAAAGUUUUUUUGACACUAACAGCAACUGUGCCAUGUGUUCACUGACCAAGCCACCUGGAUCAGGACCUUCAAUGACGAACUGGAUGAUACCAUGAGCAGUGCCUUGACAGGACCAACAAUGACUUUAAAAAAGCAAAGGAGAGUGGAAUUGUCUCCUGUGCUGUUAAACCAGACUUAUUGAAUGCUUGUGUCAAAAUAUUUGAAGACGUACUCUGUUGUCUCCACCAAAGUGAUAAUUUGAGCAACAUAAUACGGCGAAACGUUUUCAUACAUAUCUAAUGCACAUUUCCGUGAUGUUGUCAUUUACCUUUAUGUUAUCAUGACUGCACCUUUUGGACUUUACAAUUUACUCUCCUUGUAUUGAGCUGUUCACUUUUCCUGGGAUUUGUUUUCAAAGAUAAACAGAUUUACCUAUCUUUUAUGAAAAUGGUUCUAUUUCAUAACAUUACAAAUACAAAGAAAAGAUUGUGUCAUAUGUAAAGACAAGAAAUCCACUUCAGUAAAUUUUAAUAAAUAAAAUCAGACUGACUUUAUUGAUAUGGAA